GUGAGUAUAGCUCAGUGGUAAAGUACUUGCCUAGCAUGCAGGAGACCUUGGGUUCAAUCCCCAGUACCACA
rnacentral:tRNA from 1 species